rnacentral:lncRNA from 1 species
AACAGAGCUAAGCCAAGGAAAUGAUUUCUUUCCCACCUACAAUGCAUGAAAAGAAAUUAACAUGAAAAGGGUCUGAGGAAGACAUUAAUAUUUUGAUAGUGGCAGAAGAAUGUUAUUUACAAAAAUAAUGACAAAUGUUGAAGAGAAAAUACAGGCUUCCUAGCAACUAGACCAAAGAUAAGAUGCUGUUGAAUUCAAGAUAGACAUUUGGAAUAUACAGUUAGCUGUCAUUUGAACACAGGCCCAUGGCACAAGUUCAGAAACGUAAAGUUACAGAGAAAAUAAAGACCCCCAGAGCAAAAUCACCACAGUCUCCAUGGAAAUCAAUUGGUUCAUUCUUCGUCUUAAGAGUCCAGCAUUCACUCAACAAACAUCUUAUGCUGCCAGGUUUCUCUAAUGCAGCAGAGACUAGGCCCAGACAGAAGGAUAUGCCACAGCAGGAGACAGGAUCCAGAAUGAGAAUAGACAAAAGACAUUUUCAAAAGUCCAGGUUCACAGCUUGACAGAAGCCUUCACACAGAAAGAGCCAUUGCACAUUGGACAGAUGAUCCCAGAAUGGAAGUUUCCAGAGGAAAUAACAGUCAAUAAACAGCACAGGGGUUGAUCCCAGGAUUCUGUGCCUGCUAAGCAAACAUUCUGUCACAGAGCUACACCUCCCGUUCCAGAUGAAUUACUGGUGUGAUGAAUUUGACUUCAACUUAAUGACACAACUUGUAAUGUUACCAAAAAAAAAAAAAAAAAAAGGAAUAAUUCCACAAGGCAAACAUUCAAACAUAAAUCCACGAAGUUGAACGUCAUCAGCGAUCUGAUUCAUUUUAUGAUUAGAAUAACAUUCCUUAAUAAUUCUUAUAUAACAUGGCUUGAGAUACCCAAAGUACAUAUUUUCUAUCAACACAAAUGCUUCUUCACCAUGUAUCCUAGGAAAAAAAUCACCUAGGGGUGAUUAUUAAAAAAAAAAAAAAAAAUCAUUCAGAUCAUUUGGCUCAAUUCCUUCCUGACAGGCUGAUUGGAACACCUGGGUCUAGAGACCUGGAAUCUGCAUUUUUAACAAGAUCCUUCCUGAUUCACCAAGAUGCUGGGUUUUAAGGGACAUUCUUUGAAACAAAUAAAUGGAGCUUAUACAAUGUUAGGCUGAAUCUUUAGUUAGGGCAUCUAGAGGGUUAGGACACUGUCAGUUUGUUCUCCUUACUGAAUAUGUCAUAUUAUGGUACUAAACAAGAAUGGAUUCAGCACUUUGAAGGAGCAGGGGGCAGGGGGACAAGGUAAGAUUCCGUUCUUUGCUAAAGUAAAUAAUAGCGAAUUAAGAAUGAGUGGUAUAAAUUGUACUACAUUCUGAUAACUUGAAAUCUCCAAAACAGAAUAAAUUACUGACUAGUGCACU